rnacentral:rRNA from 1 species
GGGUUGUGAGGUUAAGUGACUAAGCGUACACGGUGGAUGCCCUGGCAGUCAGAGGCGAUGAAGGACGUGCUAAUCUGCGAAAAGCGUCGGUAAGGUGAUAUGAACCGUUAUAACCGGCGAUGUCCGAAUGGGGAAACCCAGUGUGAUUCGUCACACUAUCGUUAACUGAAUACAUAGGUUAACGAGGCGAACCGGGGGAACUGAAACAUCUAAGUACCCCGAGGAAAAGAAAUCAACCGAGAUUCCCCCAGUAGCGGCGAGCGAACGGGGAGCAGCCCAGAGUCUGAAUCAGCUUGUGUGUUAGUGGAACGGUCUGGAAAGUCCGACGGUACAGGGUGAUAGUCCCGUACACCAAAAUGCACAGGUUGUGAACUCGAAGAGUAGGGCGGGACACGUGGUAUCCUGUCUGAAUAUGGGGGGACCAUCCUCCAAGGCUAAAUACUCCUGACUGACCGAUAGUGAACCAGUACCGUGAGGGAAAGGCGAAAAGAACCCCGGCGAGGGGAGUGAAAAAGAACCUGAAACCGUGUACGUACAAGCAGUGGGAGCACCUUCGGGUGUGACUGCGUACCUUUUGUAUAAUGGGUCAGCGACUUAUAUUCUGUAGCAAGGUUAACCGUAUAGGGGAGCCGCAGGGAAACCGAGUCUUAACUGGGCGUUAAGUUGCAGGGUAUAGACCCGAAACCCGGUGAUCUAGCCAUGGGCAGGUUGAAGGUUGGGUAACACUAACUGGAGGACCGAACCGACUAAUGUUGAAAAAUUAGCGGAUGACUUGUGGCUGGGGGUGAAAGGCCAAUCAAACCGGGAGAUAGCUGGUUCUCCCCGAAAGCUAUUUAGGUAGCGCCUCGUGAACUCAUCUUCGGGGGUAGAGCACUGUUUCGGCUAGGGGGUCAUCCCGACUUACCAACCCGAUGCAAACUACGAAUACCGAAGAAUGUUAUCACGGGAGACACACGGCGGGUGCUAACGUCCGUCGUGAAGAGGGAAACAACCCAGACCGCCAGCUAAGGUCCCAAAGUCAUGGUUAAGUGGGAAACGAUGUGGGAAGGCACAGACAGCCAGGAUGUUGGCUUAGAAGCAGCCAUCAUUUAAAGAAAGCGUAAUAGCUCACUGGUCGAGUCGGCCUGCGCGGAAGAUGUAACGGGGCUAAACCAUGCACCGAAGCUGCGGCAGCGACACUAUGUGUUGUUGGGUAGGGGAGCGUUCUGUAAGCCUGCGAAGGUGUGCUGUGAGGCAUGCUGGAGGUAUCAGAAGUGCGAAUGCUGACAUAAGUAACGAUAAAGCGGGUGAAAAGCCCGCUCGCCGGAAGACCAAGGGUUCCUGUCCAACGUUAAUCGGGGCAGGGUGAGUCGACCCCUAAGGCGAGGCCGAAAGGCGUAGUCGAUGGGAAACAGGUUAAUAUUCCUGUACUUGGUGUUACUGCGAAGGGGGGACGGAGAAGGCUAUGUUAGCCGGGCGACGGUUGUCCCGGUUUAAGCAUGUAGGCUGAUUGUCCAGGCAAAUCCGGAUAAUCAAGGCUGAGGUGUGAUGACGAGGCACUACGGUGCUGAAGUAACAAAUGCCCUGCUUCCAGGAAAAGCCUCUAAGCAUCAGGUAACAUCAAAUCGUACCCCAAACCGACACAGGUGGUCAGGUAGAGAAUACCAAGGCGCUUGAGAGAACUCGGGUGAAGGAACUAGGCAAAAUGGUGCCGUAACUUCGGGAGAAGGCACGCUGGUGUGUAGGUGAAGUCCCUGCGGAUGGAGCUGAGACCAGUCGAAGAUACCAGCUGGCUGCAACUGUUUAUUAAAAACACAGCACUGUGCAAACACGAAAGUGGACGUAUACGGUGUGACGCCUGCCCGGUGCCGGAAGGUUAAUUGAUGGGGUUAUCCGUAAGGAGAAGCUCUUGAUCGAAGCCCCGGUAAACGGCGGCCGUAACUAUAACGGUCCUAAGGUAGCGAAAUUCCUUGUCGGGUAAGUUCCGACCUGCACGAAUGGCGUAAUGAUGGCCAGGCUGUCUCCACCCGAGACUCAGUGAAAUUGAACUCGCUGUGAAGAUGCAGUGUACCCGCGGCAAGACGGAAAGACCCCGUGAACCUUUACUAUAGCUUGACACUGAACAUUGAGCCUUGAUGUGUAGGAUAGGUGGGAGGCUUUGAAGCGUGGACGCCAGUCUGCGUGGAGCCAACCUUGAAAUACCACCCUUUAAUGUUUGAUGUUCUAACGUUGGCCCCUUACCGGGGUUGCGGACAGUGUCUGGUGGGUAGUUUGACUGGGGCGGUCUCCUCCCAAAGCGUAACGGAGGAGCACGAAGGUUAGCUAAUCCUGGUCGGACAUCAGGAGGUUAGUGCAAUGGCAUAAGCUAGCUUGACUGCGAGCGUGACGGCGCGAGCAGGUGCGAAAGCAGGUCAUAGUGAUCCGGUGGUUCUGAAUGGAAGGGCCAUCGCUCAACGGAUAAAAGGUACUCCGGGGAUAACAGGCUGAUACCGCCCAAGAGUUCAUAUCGACGGCGGUGUUUGGCACCUCGAUGUCGGCUCAUCACAUCCUGGGGCUGAAGUAGGUCCCAAGGGUAUGGCUGUUCGCCAUUUAAAGUGGUACGCGAGCUGGGUUUAGAACGUCGUGAGACAGUUCGGUCCCUAUCUGCCGUGGGCGCUGGAGAAUUGAGGGGGGCUGCUCCUAGUACGAGAGGACCGGAGUGGACGCAUCACUGGUGUUCGGGUUGUCAUGCCAAUGGCACUGCCCGGUAGCUAAAUGCGGAAGAGAUAAGUGCUGAAAGCAUCUAAGCACGAAACUUGCCCCGAGAUGAGUUCUCCCUGAGACUUUAAGUCUCCUGAAGGAACGUUGAAGACGACGACGUUGAUAGGCCGGGUGUGUAAGCGCAGCGAUGCGUUGAGCUAACCGGUACUAAUGAACCGUGAGGCUUAACCUUACAACGCCGAAG